UACGGAGGGUGCAAGCGUUGCUCGGAAUUAUUGGGCGUAAAGGGUAGGUAGGUGGUCUUAUUUGUGUGGGGUGAAAGCCUUGGGCUUAACUCAAGAAGUGCCCCGCAAACGGUAAGACUGGAGUCUUGGAGAGGCUAGCGGAAUUCCUGGUGUAGCGGUGAAAUGCGCAGAUAUCAGGAGGAACACCAAUGGCGAAGGCAGCUCGCUGGAACGGUACUGACGCUGAGGCGCGAAAGCGUGGGGAGCGAACAGG
rnacentral:rRNA from 1 species